rnacentral:rRNA from 1 species
UGAGGGAAAGGCGAAAAGAACCCCGGCGAGGGGAGUGAAAAAGAACCUGAAACCGUGUACGUACAAGCAGUGGGAGCCCCACCACUAAGCCAGUGGUGAACUCCACAUACGCAUCCUUUGCUGAGGAUACGGUUAACGGAGCGAAAGCGACGUUCAACCUCAAAAGAAGCAGAGGGGGCUUAGUGGUGGGGUGACUGCGUACCUUUUGUAUAAUGGGUCAGCGACUUAUAUUCUGUAGCAAGGUUAACCGAAUAGGGGAGCCGGAGGGAAACCGAGUCUUAACCGGGCGUUAAGUUGCAGGGUAUAGACCCGAAACCCGGUGAUCUAGCCAUGGGCAGGUUGAAGGUUGGGUAACACUAACUGGAGGACCGAACCGACUAAUGUUGAAAAAUUAGCGGAUGACCUGUGGCUGGGGGUGAAAGGCCAAUCAAACCGGGAGAUAGCUGGUUCUCCCCGAAAGCUAUUUAGGUAGCGCCUCGUGAAUUCAUCUCCGGGGGUAGAGCACUGUUUCGGCUAGGGGGCCAUCCCGGCUUACCAACCCGAUGCAAACUGCGAAUACCGGAGAAUGUUAUCACGGGAGACACACGGCGGGUGCUAACGUCCGUCGUGAAGAGGGAAACAACCCAGACCGCCAGCUAAGGUCCCAAAGUCAUGGUUAAGUGGGAAACGAUGUGGGAAGGCCCAGACAGCCAGGAUGUUGGCUUAGAAGCAGCCAUCAUUUAAAGAAAGCGUAAUAGCUCACUGGUCGAGUCGGCCUGCGCGGAAGAUGUAACGGGGCUAAACCAUG